UGGGCAUCUUUGUACCCCUAAUUCUACUUCGGACACUUGUCCAUUUUUACCUCUCGUCUCACUCUUUUUCUUUCUUUUUCGAGGUUCCGGGCACUUGCCCCUUUUUAUUUCCUCGCAUAUUUUUGCAUAACCCAUGCCUCUUCUGCAUUGAAUCUUUUUAGAGAGAGAUUAACAAUAUUUGGGACAGUGAGUGAUAAUAUUUUUAGCAAUUUUAAUGAAUGGUGAUGGCU
rnacentral:lncRNA from 1 species